UCCAAAUGGAACAUCGCCAAAGGGGUUUAAUGUGAAGGUGGAAAGACAUGAUUAUUUUGAUAACACUGCACUCAAUGCGAUUCAUCUUUUCUGUGAGAGUAAAUCUGAUGACGCAUCAGGCAUCAUUCGGUCUGAUGAAGGAAGCUUUGGCCAGUGGAUAGAUUAUAUCCAAAUGUGUCCUACUGGAUUCUUAACAGCUUUCCAGUUGAAAGUUGAAUCUUCCCAAAGGAAUUGAUGAUGAUACAG